rnacentral:rRNA from 1 species
UGGGGGAUAUUGGACAAUGGGGGAAACCCUGAUCCAGCGAUGCCGCGUGAGGGAAGAAGGUUUUCGGAUUGUAAACCUCUGUGGACAGUGACGAUAAUGACGGUAGCUGUUUAGAAAGCCACGGCUAACUACGUGCCAGCAGCCGCGGUAAUACGUAGGUGGCGAGCGUUGUCCGGAAUUACUGGGUGUAAAGGGAGUGUAGGCGGGAAGGCAAGUCAGAAGUGAAAAUUAUGGGCUUAACCCAUAACCUGCUUUUGAAACUGUUUUUCUUGAGUGAGGCAGAGGCAAGCGGAAUUCCUAGUGUAGCGGUGAAAUGCGUAGAUAUUAGGAGGAACACCAGUGGCGAAGGCGGCUUGCUGGGCCUUUACUGACGCUGAGGCUCGAAAGCGUGGGGAGCAAACAGG